AGGAGGAACAACUCCAGUGGGUGCGGCAGCUCUGGAGCCCUGGAUUCAGCCCCCGCAGUAGCUCCAGAGCUCUCAGUCCGCAGGGCCUGGAGGCUCCGGGGCGGG
rnacentral:pre_miRNA from 1 species